GUUAUAAAUAUGACUCUGCCUAAGACUCAGGCGGCGAAAGCCUUAAUGAAUGCCUGCCGAGGAAGAAAUUGAAAUGUUCCUUCUCUAUGUCUUUGAAGUCAUAGGGAUUUUUUUAUGAAUCC
rfam:Lactobacillus secaliphilus strain DSM 17896 NODE_8, whole genome shotgun sequence.